CCUACGGGAGGCAGCAGUGAGGAAUAUUGGUCAAUGGACGAGAGUCUGAACCAGCCAAGUAGCGUGAAGGAUGACUGCCCUCUGGGUUGUAAACUUCUUUUAUAUGGGAAUAAAAUGUUCCACGUGUGGGAUUUUGUAUGUCCCAUAUGAAUCAGGAACGGCUAACUCCGUGCCAGCAGCCGCGGUAAUACGGAGGAUCCGCGCGUUAUCCGGUUUUAUUGGGUUUAACGGGAGCGUAGGAGGAUUGUUAAGUCAGUUGUGAAAGUUUGCGGCUCAACCGUAAAAUUGCAGUUGAAACUGGCAGUGUUGAGUACAGUAGAGGUGGGCGGAAUUCGUGGUGUAGCGGUGAAAUGCUGAGAUAUCGCGAAGAACUCCGAUUGCGAAGGCAGUUCACUGGACUGCAAGUGACACUGAGGCUCGAAAGUGUGGGGAUCAAACAG
rnacentral:rRNA from 1 species